rnacentral:tRNA from 1 species
ACCUGGCUGGCUCAUUUGGUGGAGGGUGCAGCUCUUGAUCUCAGGGUUGUGGGUUCAAGUCCCAUGUUAGGUG